GAGGGAGAGAGAGAGAGAGAGGAACCGCGAAGAGAUCGACGAUAAUGUGAUCAGCGAAGGAGGACAGAUCGUAUAAGUGGCAGAGUUGAAGGACAGCAGUGUCGAUUGCUAGGGAGGGCAACGAUGGUGGGUUCUCAUUCGCUCACUCAUCACACACACACACACACACAAUAUAUAGCAGUGUAACUUAUAAGCUAGAUCAGCAUCUGCUAGAUCAGCAUCUGUGGCCUCCUCUCUCUAGUUCAAAGGAAGGGGCGAUUAGCGGAGAAAGAUAAUGAUUUGGUCCAAGCUUUUCAGAGGUUAAAGGACGGAGCUGUGUUAUCUCCGUC
rnacentral:misc_RNA from 1 species